UCUUCAUUUCGUUACCCCAAGUAAGGUCACACAGGGCUGGCCGGCCCUGGAGAUGAGCCUUACAAAAAUGGCAUCCGGGUACAAGGACAUAUGCUGUCGUAACCCCAAUUCCUUUGCUGGUCAUAGGAUGAUGAAGAGUUAACGGCCUCUGCCACGAGACUGCAGCUCGGGUGGGCAGGGGAUCGAACAGAGAUAAAGAGCGCUGCAUUGGUGGGCCUCCUCUGUUCCCCAACUUUCUCUCUCUCUCUUUCUUUCGCUUUUUAGUUUAUCUUUUAGCAGUAAUGGGUAAUUCAAUUCCUGUCUUUUUGAAGGACAAAGAUUGGCAAACAGUUCCAAGAUCUCCUAGGAAUGGAUUAACUCCCCUGUUAACACUAUGGGGAGGAUUGGGGAGGAUAGGCUGUGUCUCUCGAGAAGAGUUUUAAAUUUGGUGUUCUGCUUACCAUAAACGUUCAUUAUCCCUCUUUGAUAAUGUUCCAAUCUUUCUUUCUUGCGACUUCUUGGACAGCUCUAAGCUGUCCCCUGAUAGUUCUAAACUGUCCCCUAUUAGGGACCCCCUUUCCCCCCGUUCUCUUAUUGCAACCCUCCCUUCGAUUCUCUUUGGAGAACCCCCGACACUGUGUGCUGGUCAUGCAAAGUUUCGAUGCUACAGAAAUCCCCUCGGUGGAAGAAGAAACUGGAUGAAUUCAGAAAAGCCUGAGAAGACAUAUCAACUGAUGCAAAGAAGUGAGCAAAAUCAGGCAAACAGUGUAUACAGUAAAAGAUGAUGAUCAACUAAUUGUGAAGGACUAAACCAGUAUCAGCAAAGCAAGUCUCCAAGAUAACCACAAGUGACUAAUGUUGACAAUGCUAUCCAAAGUUAAAGAAGGAACUGUCCAAAUUGGAGAGCAGAUCAAAGCAGGACAUCUUCCACUUUUUUCCUUCAUGAGAUUUCUUUUGUAUGUGUGAUAUGUGUCAUAUCAUGAUGAGCAAUAUAAAAAUACGUAUUACAUGAAAGUA